GAGCCACCACUGGAGCACCAGGAAGUAAGACAGGUAGAAUUUGGAAAUGCCUUUUUUAUGACCUUCAACACUGGCAAAAAUAAAUCAUCAGGGCAGGCAUAUUAUCCUUGGCCUUGCAAAGGCAGCCAGAAAACACAAAAUAUGCCUGUCCUCCAUAGGUCCAGGAAGUGUCCUUUCCUGCUCCAAAGUCAAAGACAGGCAUGUUGCUCACCACCUCCUUCUAAGGGUUACAAAAAUGUUCCCAUCUUUCUCUUUUUUUCCUGCCUAGGCACAGCUGGAGUGCCCUCUGCUACAACAGUCGCCCCGGGGAGCUCCAACUCAGAGGCUCCAAUUUUCUCUGGAAUCACUGAAGCAGUAACAGUCCCAGGUAAAAAUGGGAAGUUUGUGAAAUAUUUCUAACAAUUCAAAUUGAUUUAAAUAAAUACAAAGUAAUUUCCUAUGGAAAUC
rnacentral:lncRNA from 1 species